CCGGAAGUGCCUGUCGCUUGGAGACGGAGUGACUCCAAACGGGCUCACACGGUUUUCUGAGAAACAUAAAGGGAAACCGAAUCCACCAAUAUAUAUAUAUAUUUUCUUGAGACGGCGUCUCGCUCUGUCACCCAGGCUGGAGUGCAGUGGCGUGAUCUCGGCUCACUGCAAACUCCGCCUCCCGGGUUGACGCCAUUCUUCUGCCUCAGCCUCCCGAGUAGCUGGGACUACAGGCGCCCGCCGCCACGCCCGGCUAAUUUUUUUGUAUUUUAGUAGAGACGGGGAGUCACCGUGUUGCCCAGGCUGGUCGCGAACUCCUGAGCUCAGGCAAUCCGCCCGCCUUGGCCUCCCAAAGUGCUAGGAUUACAGGCGUGAGCCACCGCGCCCGGCCCACCAAUACUCAAUUGGUUUGACUUCAGUUGAGGAAACCAGAAAAAAUUUAAAUAUAUUUAUGGAAAGAAGCUAUUGGGAGAGUGGCUGAGUACUGAGUCUAUCACUACUUGGAUGAUACAGAAACGGGGUCUCACUGUGUUUCCCAGGCUGGUCUCAAACUCCUGGGCUCAAGCAAUUUUCCUGCCUUGGCCUCCUGAAGCUCUGGGAUUACAGGUAUGAGCCACUGCACCUGGCCUAUUUCUGCUGCAUUCUGUUGGCUACAGGCAAAUUACAAGUCCACCCAGGUUCAAGGAGCUGGUGUCGACCUCAACUCUCAUGGGAGAAAUAUAUAGCAGGCACACUGUGGAAGAGAAUGUGUGAUAGGAGAUACUGUUUUGGCCAUGUUUGGGAUUACCACGGUCUGCCCUCUGGCUGUAACAAUUCACAUCCCCCCCAUGCAAAGUACAGCCAUCUCCUCCCCCAAGAUCCCAAUGUCUCAUCCCGUUAUAAUAUCAGAUUGAAGACCAGGAUCUCAUCGUCAAACUCUGCUACAGGUGCAGAUGGGACUCUUGAGGAUGCAGUUCCUGAGGUGCUAUUUCUCCCAAUCUGAAUGCCUGUGAAAUAUGAGACAAGUUAUUUUCAUCUUACACACCCAGAACGUAACAGUGGGGCAGACACAGAAAAACUGUUACCAAUACUCCUAUUCAAAAAUGGGGACAAGAGGAGGCACAGAGUAGUCACUGUUCCAUAGAAAUCCAUAAAUCCUACUGGGUACCCAUUACCAGUUCGGUGAUUAGGGUUUGGUUCUGCUUUCUUGGACUUCUCCUCCAUGGCUCUUUGCUCUACCCUCUGGAUCUUAGUUCUGCUCUCUGAGUCAUCCAUGGUUUUUCAUAAAAUGUGACCAUGUUUGCAAGUGAGUAUCCUUCUCAACCUCCUUCCUGAGCAAAAAGGUUGAGAGUUCAAAUAUCUUUUUUUAUACAGUUUGUCCUUAUCUGUAAAGUUAGCAUCACUGUUUUUAAGAACGUGUGGGAUUUUUAGCUAUCUGUGUACAACCCAUUCCAUUAGACAAAAGCCACACCCCAAAAAUCUCUUAAUAAGACUUUCUCUACUAUGGGCUCUCAGUGGGCCUUUUGUGGGACCUCACCCUUAAAAUUCUUAGCAGUUCUGUUGCUUAUGAGAGAGGGCUCACAGAAGCAUUCUCUCAAGUCCUUAGAAGUCCUUUUUGUUUAUUCAUUGAAGGGGGUCAGGAGGCACCGCUUCAGAUCUUUCUGGAAUCUUACAUAAGGGUAUUAUAGCCAGCCUUGGAUUACAUCUUUUCCCUGAGGAGCUUUCGUACUUUGAGAAUGCUUUACAAGCUGAAAAGACUGUUUACCAUUUCCUCCAUGGAAUGGUUCAUUUUUUAGUUCUCUUUCCUCUCAUUUUAUUAUAAGCAAUGAGGAGCCAGGUAGCAUCCUGAACACUGGGUCUAGAAAACACUUAGCUCUAUCACUGAGGUCAUGAGGUACAUCUUCUAUUUUCCAUUUACAUUAGGUGACAGUGUUGAUACACCUGUCACUACAUAAAAAAGUCUCAUUUUCUCCAUGUUUCAAUAAUGCUUUCCUUGUGUUCCUUCAAGCUCUCACCAGCAACCUCCUUGAUGACUUUUAGACUCUGCUAAUACCAUCCCCAAAGCCCACUGGGUUUUACUGAUAUUUUACUCAAGGGCCUUUCAGAUUCUGCUCAUCAUCCAGUGCCAAGGCCAGUGAUGCAUGUAAGUAGAACCCCACUUCCAACACUAAAUUUCUAUUCCAAUCACUACUGUAGUCUAACGUAUCACCUCAAAACAUUAUAGCACAAAUAGCAACAAAGACGUUAUUAUUUCUGAUGGUUCCUGUUUGUCAGGGAUUCAGGAGAGGUCUGACUGAGCCGUUCUGGGUCAGAAUUUCUCAUGGAGCCAGAAAGGCAUGGAACGGGAGCAUAUGGGGCUGAACAAGCAUCUCUUUAUGUAAUCUCAGAGCCUCUCUAUGUGGUUUCUCUAUAUGGAUUAUUUGAGAUUUCCUCCUAGUACUGCAGCUUCAAGGACUGCUUACAUGGCAAAUGAAGGAUCUCUGCAAUCAAGGCAGAAGCCGCAUGGCUUUUUAUAUCCUGCGAAGUUACAUGAUCACUUCCUCCACAUUCUUUUGGCUACAAGUGACUCACAAGCCAACAAAACUCAAAGGAUGGGGCAAGACUAUAAGUGGGAGGAGUGGCAAGAUCACACUGUAGAAGAGGAGAUGAGAUGGAAGCUACUGUCAUAGCCCACUUCAGAAAAUAAAAUCUGCCACAUAUGUAAAACAUGGUUGAUUAUUGUAAUUUCCUAUGGUUCAACCUCAUAUACAAAUGUAUGGCGAAAGAGACCUGGAUUUCAUUUACUCAGAAAAUUUUCAUAUAUUAGAUUGACCUGUAUUUAUUUUUUCUUCUACUGUCUCUAUCCUGAUUUGGUGUAAAGGUUAUAAAAGAAUUUCUAGGUGAAUUUGGAAGUAAUCUAUAUUUUAAAAAUUCUCUAAUACUGCUUACAUAAUGAUAAUCAAGUCCUUAAUGUUUGCUAAAAUUUUAUUGGACAUCCAUCUGGGCUUUGCUAUAUUUCACUGAGGGAAGCUUUUGAUACUCCAAUUCAAUUUUGUUAUUUAUUGUUGAUUUUAUUCAGUCUUGCUUUUUCUGCUUUGGUCAGUUUUGAUAAUGUGCAGUAUUCUAGAAAACUGAAAAAUGUGUUAUCUAUUUUUAUUUGACUGGCGUAUGGUUAUCCUUAGUAUUCUCCCAUAAUUUUUUAAAAUCUAAACUGUUGUAUAGCCCCUGUUCAUCAAAUACUAGUUACAAGUACAUUCUCACGAAUGCUCUUGAAUCUUUCACCCAAACAGAAAAUUAAAAAUAACUUGAAGCCUCUACUUAGUGUUCCCUUUUUCCAACUCACUGCUUCUUCCACAGGGUGUAGACACUAUCCUAAAGAUUUUGAUUAUCAUUUUCUAGCUUUUUUUCCCCGUUGUUUUGUCACAUAAACACAUAUGCCUAAACAAUAUAUAACUCCAUUUUGCUUUAUCUUGGCCUUUAACAAAGAUGUUAUACUACAUACAGUAUUUGGGGAAUAACAUUUAUCACUAUUAAAUGUCUAGGACUUGAACAUAUUGAUGAUUCAAUUUGUUCAAGCUUGUUCAAUUUAUUCAGUUUAUUUCAUAGUUGCAUAUUUUAUCAACUGGAUAAUAGUCUCUUUAUUCUUUUACAUCUUUAUCAGAUUUAUUUUGUUUUAAUUAAAUUUGUAUUGAGAUAGUUUCACCUAGAGUAUACAAAAUAAUGCAGAGAUCCCUUAUACACUUUUCCCAGUUUCCCCCAAUGCUAACAUUUUGCAACACUACAGUAUAUCACAGCCAGAAUACUGACACACAAUACUUAACAUUUCCCCAGUUUUACUUAUACUUUGUAUGUGUGUAUAUUAAGUUCUGUUCAAUGUUAUCACCAGUGUAGGUUCAUGUAUCAACAACCACCUUCAAGAUGCUGAACAGUUCCAACACCAUAAGAUUUGUAUCUAUUUUGUAUUUUGAUGCCACUGAAAAUUGAUUCAAUUUGUUAAAUCCCAUUUUAUAUUAUUUUUCUGAUAUAUAGAAAUAAAAUUGAUUUGAAUAUACUGACAUCCAAUAAUUUUGCAAAAUUCAGUUUUUCUUUUUAAUGACUUUAAUUUUUUGUGUGUGACAGGGUCUCACU
rnacentral:lncRNA from 1 species